UGGGGAAUAUUGGACAAUGGGGGCAAGCCUGAUCCAGCAAUGCCGCGUGUGUGAAGAAGGCCUGCGGGUUGUAAAGCACUUUCAUGGGUGAGGAAGGGUUUUAUGUUAAUAGCAUAAGACAUUGACGUUAACCCGAGAAGAAGCACCGGCUAACUCUGUGCCAGCAGCCGCGGUAAUACAGAGGGUGCGAGCGUUAAUCGGAAUUAUUGGGCGUAAAGCGUACGUAGGUGGCUGAUUAAGUUAGCUGUGAAAUCCCCGGGCUUAACCUGGGAAUGGCAGUUAAUACUGGUGAGCUAGAGUACAGUAGGGGUAGUGGAAUUUCCGGUGUAGCGGUGAAAUGCGUAGAUAUC
rnacentral:rRNA from 1 species